CACCACAAGUGGAACCAGAUCUGGUACAGCAGAGCUAAUCUUCCAAAAGAUUGAUGCCACCUUACAAAACCACAAGAUUCCAUGGUGCAACUGUAUUGGUCUCUCUGUAGACAAUGCAGCCGUGAACAUCGGACAACACAAUUCAAUCGCAUCAAGAGUUCUGCAAAACAACCACAGUGUUUAUGUACAUGGUUGCCCGUGUCAUAUUUUACACAACACUGCAAAGCGAGCAGGUCUUACCUUUACUGAGGUGUCACAUUUUGAUCUGGAGGACGUUGUGGUUGAUGUGGGCUUUUGGUUUAAAGGAAGCACCAACCGCAAGGGAUUUCUGGCAGAGUUUUGUGAGCUCUUUGAGUCAGAAUACCUGGAAGUCCUACAGCAUGCCUCUGUGCGGUGGUUGAGCCUUGAAACCUGUGUGACCCGC